GCAUAUCAAUAAGCGGAGGAAAAAGAAACCAACAGGGAUUGCCCCAGUAACGGCGAGUGAAGCGGCAAGAGCUCAAAUUUGAAAGCUGGCUCCUUCGGGGUCCGCAUUGUAAUUUGUAGAGGAUGCUUCGGGAGCGGUCCCCAUCUAAGUGCCCUGGAACGGGACGUCAUAGAGGGUGAGAAUCCCGUAUGGGAUGGGGUGUCCGCGCCCGUGUGAAGCUCCUUCGACGAGUCGAGUUGUUUGGGAAUGCAGCUCUAAAUGGGUGGUAAAUUUCAUCUAAAGCUAAAUAUUGGCCGGAGACCGAUAGCGCACAAGUAGAGUGAUCGAAAGAUGAAAAGCACUUUGAAAAGAGAGUUAAAAAGCACGUGAAAUUGUUGAAAGGGAAGCGCUUGCGACCAGACUCGCUCGCGGGGUUCAGCCGGCAUUCGUGCCGGUGUACUUCCCCGCGGGCGGGCCAGCGUCGGUUUGGGCGGUCGGUCAAAGGCCCUCGGAAGGUAACGCCCCUAGGGGCGUCUUAUAGCCGAGGGUGCAAUGCGACCUGCCUAGACCGAGGAACGCGCUUCGGCUCGGACGCUGGCAUAAUGGUCGUAAACGACCCGUCUUGAAACACGGACCAAGGAGUCUAACAUCUACGCGAGUGUUCGGGUGUCAAACCCGUGCGCGAAGUGAAAGCGAACGGAGGUGGGAACCCUCACGGGUGCACCAUCGACCGAUCCUGAAGUCUUCGGAUGGAUUUGAGUAAGAGCGUAGCUGUUGGGACCCGAAAGAUGGUGAACUAUGCCUGAAUAGGGCGAAGCCAGAGGAAACUCUGGUGGAGGCUCGUAGCGGUUCUGACGUGCAAAUCGAUCGUCGAAAUUUGGGUAUAGGGGGCGAAAGACUAAUCGAACCAUCUGGUAGCUGGUUCCUGCCGA
rnacentral:rRNA from 1 species